rnacentral:tRNA from 1 species
GUUCCUGUAGUUUAAUAACAACGGUGGUUUUUCAAAUCAUUAGUCUUGGUUAAAGUCCAGGUGGGAAUU